CGGGGAGCCAGGUAAGGAGCAGCCCGAGCCCCACAUGCUGCGGCCGGGUGGCAGCGAUGUCCCCGCGGGCACAGCCAGGCCUGGGGGCACAGGGGCUCUCCGGGGAGGAGCUGGAGCCACUGAAUGAUGGUGAGGUCCUGAGCUGUCACCGGGGUUUUAGCCGGAGCUGCGGGAGCUGCGUUACCUUCGGCAGAGGCUCUGUCCGUGAAGCACCGUGCGCGCCCAGGACAGGAUUUAUGGAUUGAGCCUUCCCGGCUGCGGCUGCUCCGGCGCGGGGCCCGCGGCGCAAGUUCAAGGUUUGUGAGAGCCCGGAGGUGUUUAAUGGCAAAUGGAUGUCUGGGCUUUUAUGGGCAGCAGCAGCAGGAGGAGGAGGAGGAGGAAAACUUCCCGCGGCCAGGCCCGCGCAGGCCUCUCGGAGCAAUCUUUUCCUAAUAAAGAGUCUAAUCGAAACGCUCCUUCCCCCGCCUCGGCGGGAAGGGCCGCGGAAGAGGCUGCGGAGGUGCAGAGCCGCCGCGGAUCGAUGGAGAGAAGCCCGGAUUGAUCGGCCUCUAAAAUUAAAUUUAUUGGGGUCAUGGUUUUAUAUGGUGCUGAUACAACUGUUAAAUGGGGAACAUUCAUUUCCAAUAGGAGGCGUUUAUUAAACUUCCACUGAAUUAGACCGCCGUGAUUUAUGUGGCAAUCUCGGCUCAGCCCUCCAGGAGCGCGGGGCCUUCCGCGCCCGCCACGCGUGAUUAUUUAUUUAUACACCCGUGACACGGCUCCCUAAGUUUUAACCUAAAUUAUCCUCCGGCUUCGGCUGCCGGCGGCACCGGCCCGGGGAGCGGGGAAGGACGGGGGUCCCGUCGGGGCUGCGCCCUCCGCGCCCCCCGGUCCCGGGGGUGUCCCGGGGGGGGUCCCCGGUUUGGGGGGCGGCGGAGCCCGCAAACGUCCCGGCUCCCGCGUGCGGCGAUCGUUGAGCGUUAAUUAGAAAUUCAUUACAAUUAAAAGCCGCGCGCACACGCCUUAAUUACAUCUGAUUUUUAAUUCCGAAUCCGUGUUUACACAGUAAGCGAGACGUACCUCCUGAUUAUCCCCAAUACUCUUUAUACUGUACUAAUUAUGUAAAUUAAACCUAAUUAACUGAC